GGCCCCGUAGCUCAGCCAGGAUAGAGCGGCGGCCUCCUAACAAGGGCGAGGGAGAGCCGUAGGUCGUGGGUUCGAAUCCCACCGGGGCCG
rnacentral:tRNA from 1 species